AGGGAGCAAGCGUUGUCCGGAAUCAUUGGGCGUAAAGCGCGCGUAGGCGGCCCUGUAAGUCCGUUGUGAAAGUCAAAGGCUCAACCUUUGAAAGCCGAUGGAUACUGCAGGGCUAGAGUCCGGAAGAGGCGAGUGGAAUUCCUGGUGUAGCGGUGGAAUGCGCAGAUAUCAGGAGGAACACCAAUAGCGAAGGCAGCUCGCUGGGACGGUACUGACGCUAAGGCGCGAAAGCGUGGGGAGCGAACAGG
rnacentral:rRNA from 1 species